CAGUAGCCGCGGGAAUACAGAGGGUGCAAGCGUUAAUCGGAAUUACUGGGCGUAAAGCGCGCGUAGGUGGUUUGUUAAGUCGGAUGUGAAAUCCCCGGGCUCAACCUGGGAACUGCAUCCGAAACUGGCAAGCUAGAGUAUGGUAGAGGGUAGUGGAAUUUCCUGUGUAGCGGUGAAAUGCGUAGAUAUAGGAAGGAACACCAGUGGCGAAGGCGACUACCUGGACUGAUACUGACACUGAGGUGCGAAAGCGUGGGGAGCAAACAGGAUUAGAUACCCCUGUAGUCCCUGUCUCUUAUAC
rnacentral:rRNA from 1 species